GUCCUCGUUGAGCGGUACGCUCACCCGCAGCCGCAUGCAAACCCGCCAAAGGACGGUCCAUUGCGGGAGAAUCGGUGGUUCGACUCCACCCGAGGACG